rnacentral:lncRNA from 1 species
GUUGGAGUAGACAUAAGAAAUUUAUGACAUGGCCUGAAAGGGUGUAUAUGUAGUGGGAGAGUUUUCCCACUGUGAAAGAAAAUCCAAAAAUGCUGCAUGCAAAAAUGUCGAGAAGAGACGUAUCUUGUCGGACGUGCUCCCUCAAGUAUCUCUAAAAUAAAGCCUAUAACCUCUUUUUCGAUACGGCGAAUUUUAUUUUGCCCACGCUUUAAUUUUUACCCAGCUCCUGCUAAUUCAACAUUUGGUGACCGUGACAGGACGCUGGGGAUCUGUUACAUUAAAAUGUGAAAUUUCGUGUUAUUUCGUACGUCGUUUUGAAAAAAAUGCAGUUGGCAAAGAGGAGGGGGGCAGUAUAACGAAUCACAUUUACAAGGGCGCUGAAUAGUUUUAACGAACUCCUAAACAGAAAAAAUACGAACAAUUCAGAUUUUGAAGCGGCAUUUGAUAUUUUAGAAGAGAAAAUGCAAGAGUUAAGAGUGACAUCUGAUGGGAAUAUAGAAGCAAUGCUGAGUGAUUCUCAAGCAAGUGACGGAGAAAUCAAUAAGGAAUGUGACGAGUACCCGCUCGCGUACAUAAUUCGACCAAUAAUCAGGAACAUGUCGAACGAAGUGAAAAUCGAAGGCAGUUUAAGUUACCUAUGAUACAAUUGAUUAAGUUCACAGGAGAAAUACGCGAUUGGCUACCUUUUUGGAGUUUGUUUAAAAAGAUCCAUGAAGACCCGAACCUGGACCGUGAAGAUAAUUUCCAGUACUUGAUAUAAGCAAUGGUACCAGGCUCUCGUGCAGCAGAGCUCGCAAGAAGCUAUCUAUUGACAGGAGACAAUUAUGAUAAAGUCAUUGAUAGUCUAAAGAAACGAUUUGGUAAGGAAAGUUUACAAAUACAAUUUUACGUGAGAGAGCUCUUGCAGUUAGUUCUUAUCAAUGCGGGGUCAUUCGAAAAAUGUUAUCCGUUAUCAACUGUCUCUGACACGAACGAAUCGUAUUUGAGAAUGAUUGAGUUUUUAAGGGUGACUACCGAUAUGUGUGCAGCCAUGUUACUACCUCUCGUAGAGUCAGCCUUACCAGAAGAUUUGCUACGUGCCUAGAAACGGAACAAUUCGAUGUAAAUCGUGUCAGCGCGAGAGAGUAACGCUAAUGACAGCGCAACUGAAUGGAAAGAUUACCUGGCUCUCUUAAUGGAAUUUUUGGAAGGAGAAAUAUUACCAUUGCAUCCAUAGUCUUAGAUACCCUUAAGACCCAGAAGGCAAAAUGACGGAAUUACUUAAAGAGUCAUAUGAUGUCCUCUUGUGAGACACUGACAGUGUUUUCAAUGAGCUUUAUAAACCAACAGCACCCUGACUGGAAGGAUGGAAUGAUAAAAUGUUAGCAGAGUUGAGGGCAACCAUUAACUUCCUCUGCUCUACUUACAAUCGAGCUAACCUUCGAGCAAUUUUAUUUAGAUUCUAUGGUUUCUACUUUACAUGGCAGAUCCCAGAUGGAGAUACGGUCCAAGUAACUGUUUAUGAUGUGGUUGUCUUGCCAAAAACAGACCAGAGUCCUAUUUGGAAAGCUCCAAAAGAAAUGUGUGAAGCAUUUUAUGCUAUUAAUUCCUCAGAUUUUGUAGAUAUUGCUAGUUUAUCUAUAGGAGCAUCCCCAUCUGUUAACUCUCUCUAACCCCAAUUGGACCAGUCUACAAAUAGAAAAAUAUCAUUUUCUGAUGUCUAAAUAUAAUCAAGAUGCAACUGUCAUUUCUAAAACCAAGAUAGCAGAAUUAAUUACUUCUGUUAGCACUGAAAAGGAGGCUACUUCCAAAGAACACGUUAAGACUGAGCAGAUUUCUUGUAAUGAUGCUUCUGCGAUUUGCUACCAAAGAUGUAGCUCAGAUGGGGAAUGCAUUUUUAAAGUGACAAUACAGCACCAACCUUUCAAAUGUUGCAGGAUGGCCAGCAGGCUCUUCUUACACUCCUCCUUACACUCCUCCUUGCACUCAAUAUUUUGAAGUAUGCUUUAAUGGAUUAUAAAAAGGGACAAAAUUGACUUCUAAAAUAUUUAUCAUAUUGGUAUAUGGAUUUGUCUUAUUGAAUGAUCCUGCAUAUCCGAAAUCAACAGUUUCUGGAUACUUGUCUGCCUUGGUGCUAAUACACACGGCUAGGAAUGGUUUAAGAAUGCUCUAGAUGUUGGACGCUGUGUGUAUUUACGUGUGCGAUUUAUAGAGCGGUGCACUUCGAAUUUACUAUCGACGGCUAGUUUCUUGUUGGCUUUGCGUCGUCACAUCGCACGACGAGGACGCCCUGCUGUUAUCUACAGUGAAAAUGGGGCGAAUUUUCUUGAUGGAGAGGAUUCUGGGAACGCCUAAAUGGUAUAUUGAAGCGUCUAUUGAGACGUACACCGAAUAAGUCAUGCCUAGAUUACAAAGAGAUGCUCUUAUCACCGUCCAUGUUUCUACAAGAAAUUAAGGAAGUUGGCGUAAUAAUGGAUAAAAUUGAGACUCGUCAAUUAAAUAAAAGAUUUAUAUACAGAGAGUGGCUGAAAGACAAUUUGAGAAAGAGAUUCCGUACUGAAUAUUUAGAAGCUCUAACUUAUCAGAGAAGUAAAGCCGAAAGUAAUCGCAACAUAAAGAUCGGAGAUAUUGUUUUAAUUAGCAGUGACAAUUUGAAACGGAUGGAGUGGCCGUUAGCUCAAUAUAAAGAUACCAUUAAAGAUGCAGAUGGCCGAGUGAGUGUGGUUCGACUAACGACUUCCACAGAAGAAUUUGUACGAACUAUACAACGUGUAUACCCGUUAGAGUCAUCGUAUGAUAAGGGUACCUGCUUGAAUGAAACUUUAAUGUCUAACAAGGAUAGUGCAAGUCCUUCAGGUUAUCGAUUUAGUUGAAACUUUGCAGUUUUCAAGUGGCGUUGCGGCCUAACGGCGACAUUCAAAAAUUCCUAUGCUGUAGAGAUCCGGGG